AAUUCCCCUGGAAAAUGUUUUUGCAUAAGGAUUCACAUAAAAGGCUGUGUGUGGUCCCAUUAAAACCAGUCCAUCUUCACCCUCAACACAAAGCCUCAUCUUAUGAUUGUAGGGAACAGCUAUACCUACUUUAUUUACAGCUUGGAUAUCUACUUGGGAAUGCUAUAGCACUACUCACACUGAGGGGAAAGGACAUCUCUGGUGGUGGAAAACCCUCUUCUCUCGGGGUGGCCAUCACAGUAGGUAUGGGGUGAGGACAUUAGGGACUAUUAAAAGAGCCCCCACUGCUGCCCAUGUGUUGGGUUUUAGUGACACUAGCCCCCUCCCCCCUCUAAAAUUAUAUUUCAAACCACAACCCUUCAUCUAUAGGUAGGGGCCGGGGUGGGUACAUUAGGACCCAACCAGUUGAAUUAUAUGUUUAGUGCCUCCACCCACCAUCUAUAAGUUGUUACAGUGGAAUAAUGGAGAGGAUAUGAGAUGUUGGUAAGGUAGCAUGCUAGCUUAGGCGGUAUAUGUACUGUCACAUGGCGAAAGGUCCUCUCUCUCUCCUGAAAUCCUGAGUUACGGUGUAUACACAUUCUGUGUCCCUGUGCUCUCAUAUUCACAGUGUACAUCACAGGAGAUCCAUCCUCUUAGUACAUUUUACCCAAUUAUCUCAUUUUCAAGGAAAUCAUUCUUGGCUUCUCUUGUUAGCAAUAUAACUUAAGGGAGUCACUAAGAUUAUCAGAAUGGGUCCUCUAUUACAACUUGUUUCAUUCACUCUAACAGACCCCUCUGAUUAAACUUAAAACCACCCAUGGUAAGUGUAGCGGUUGGCAUUGGGCUAUCCUCAGAAUUAUGUAUAUUUGUAUGUUUUCGGUUUAAUUUUGCCAUGUGUAUGUUAAGUGUAUGCAGCAUUCACCUGAUUGUUCAGUAAAAUCACUCCAGUUAUUAUGCGAAUGAAACUACCGAACAAUCAGACCACCCCAGGAAUAAGUGUGCCUCCAAUUACCAUUCGCAACAAUGUUGCAAACGGGUAAUUGGCAAUUCAUGCAGUGUGUAAUUUGUCCUCUGGGUGGCCGUCAUUCGGGAGACGAACACGACGUAGCGGCGGCCAUCUUAAACUCCCAAACAGCAGUGUUUUGCCAUCGAGUGUCUGGAACCCAAAUCGGACACUCGAUUAGGCAAACACCGCUGAAACCUCCUCCGCAGGUCCAACAUGUAUGGAACCCUUUUCAGCUGUUAACUCCAGCGCGGUCGGUCUUUUUAAUACCUCCAGGAAUUUCCUGAACCCCUGGUCAGAUCUGGGUGAUUUUUGGAUAGGUGUCUCACCCAGAUCAGGGCUACCAGGGGCUGUAAUAUUUAAAGGGGUAUCCCUAUGUUUAGGGGUCCAUCCAGAAAACAAGGGGAACUGUGUCCUGCAUAAUGGGAUUAUGUGCAAUCCUAAAGGGAGGGGAUGUGUGGAUGGGAACUCGUGUAUGAUUGGUGUAUUGUGUAAUUACUGUAAAUCCCUCCCUUGCAUGGGAGAAAGCUUUAAAA